AUCUGAAAGUGAAGAACCCUACAAAAGAGAUUGCUUGUUAUGUCCUUCAACAGAAGAUUGAGCGGUUGUGAUAUUUUUCAGGUGAACUUCUCACAAGCAGAAUUAAUUGCUCUGAUGUUAAUGUGGCCACACAAUGCUUCAGAUCUGAAAGGAAAAGAUGCAAUUGCAUGUUCAAAUGUAGCAUCUCUUGAUAUAUGGACAUCCUUGUGAUCUGGUUCCUGGGGUGAGUUCUCCAUGUGGUUUCUAACUUUACAGUCUUUGGGGGAUAUUUAGCUACCUUCAUGAAUAUUGAGGGAAGACUUGCCUAUCAGUGAAUUUAAGAGAAGACACAAAUAUUUGUGACAAAAAUUGACACUUGUUAGAGAUGUUCCUGAAUGAUUGAUAAGAUGAGACAUCAGCCAACAAGGAGAAGGAUACUGCACUUGAGCGAAAAAUAUACAGAAAGGAGAAUACAAGUUUGGGGUUAACUGAGUCCUAGGGUGUACAUUGAACAUGUUACAAUGACAUCUACAUUAUUUGAACAAUUGUGGGGAAGCUUGAAUCACUCACCUCUGAAAGACAGGAAUAAAAGUGUGAUCUCCUAUCCUCCAUUUACAUCAGAAUGCAGUCUAUUGAAUUAUAAGGUAAAGACAAAGAUAAGUUUGAUUCAACCAUGAGGACUAUGUGGAUACAAUCACACAGAUUUCUUGACAACAAUACCAACAUGGUUUACCACUGCUUUCUUCUCAGUUUUUUCAACUCCCAGUUUACAAUGUUGUAUUCCCAGACAGUCUUAAUUCAUUAAAUUGAAAUCAGCUUGCUACACUGCUAGAAUGUAGAGGAUUGCUGUCCAUCAGUACAAGUCUGUACCACACCAUCUAGCAUGAGAAUAAGCCCUAUCAAAUCAGUGGAAUUUAUUUCCAGGCAAAAAUUUGUAAGA